UGCGUAGGCGGAAUGAUAAGUUAGUGGUGAAAGCCCCCGACUCAACCGGGGAACUGCCAUUAAUACUGUCAUUCUUGAGUAUAGUUGAAGUGGGCGGAAUGUAUCAUGUAGCGGUGAAAUGCUUAGAUAUGAUACAGAACACCGAUAGCGUAGGCAGCUUGCUAAACUAUAACUGACGCUCAGGCACGAAAGCGUGGGGAGCAAACAGGAUUAGAUACCCUGGUAGUCC
rnacentral:rRNA from 1 species